rnacentral:sRNA from 1 species
AUUAGUUUUCUUAAUUUGUGCGAAAAAAUUUCAAACAUCGUUCUUUUAUGAAUAGAGGAAAUAUUAAACUUGACCACAAAAAACAAAGUUAUGACAUUACUUACUAGGCCUAUCAAAUUAAAGCAAAGUCUGAUGGCCCCGCUUGAUAGCUCUACUACUUACUACAAAAAGAUAACUAUGUAUGUGUAGUAAGCAAACCUUUUCUUUUUUGUCGGCUUGUUUAAAUUAUUUUGAGCUUGAAAAAGAAAAUUCAUGUUUUUACUUAAUUUAAAUAA